GGGCGAGGGUGGGAAAAGCUGGGGGGGGGGAUGCGAAGGCGAGAGAAAGAGAGAGAGGAAAAAUGGGAGGGGCAACCCCCCCAGCUUUUCCCACCUUCGCCCUCUCCCCUAAA